rnacentral:rRNA from 1 species
GAUGAACGCUGGCGGCGUGCCUAAUACAUGCAAGUCGAGCGAACGGACGAGAAGCUUGCUUCACUGAUGUUAGCGGCGGACGGGUGAGUAACACGUGGAUAACCUACCUAUAAGACUGGGAUAACUUCGGGAAACCGUAGCUAAUACCGGAUAAUAUCUUGAACCGCAUGGUUCAAAAGUGAAAGACGGUCUUGCUGUCCCCUAUAGAUGUAUCCGCGCUGCAUUAGCUAGUUGGUAAGUUAACGGCUUCCCAAGGCAACGAUGCAUAGCCGACCUGAGAGGGUGUUCGGCCACACUGGAACUGAGACACGGCCCAGACUCCUACGGGAGGCAGCAGUAGGGAAUCUUCCGCAAUGGGCGAAAUCCUGACGGAGCAACGCCGCGUGGGUGAUGAAGGGCUUCGGAUCGUAAAACUCUGUUAUUAGGGAAGAACAUAUGUGGAAGGAACUGUGCACAUCGUGACGGUACCUAAUCAGAAAGCCACGGCUAACUACGUG